AAAGCUUGACAGACAAUCGCUGGUGGCCUUCGUUGCCACGAGAGGAAAGUCCGGGCUCCACAGGGCAGGAUGCUGGAUAACGUCCAGUCAGCGCGAGUUGAAGGAUAGUGCCACAGAAAUGGACCGCCGAUGGCCGGAUUUUUCCGGCACAGGCAAGGAUGGAACCGAGGUGUAAGAGACCCCGAGGAACGCUGGUGACUUCGUUCCUGGUAAACCCCAUCUGGAGCAAGACCUAAUGGGACACAGUCGACUCUUCGGAGAAGGCAGCCUUAGCCCGAGGUGUGUCUAGGUUGGUCGCUUGAGCUGUGCAGCAAUGUAUGGCCUAGAUAGAUGAUUGUCGCUUGUGGUGGGAGGGUAGUUCCCGUCUGAACCACGAAGAGCACAGAACCCGGCUUACGGUAAGCUUUCCUA
rnacentral:RNase_P_RNA from 1 species